rnacentral:rRNA from 1 species
UGGGGAAUAUUGGACAAUGGGCGAAAGCCUGAUCCAGCCAUGCCGCGUGUGUGAAGAAGGUCUUCGGAUUGUAAAGCACUUUAAGUUGGGAGGAAGGGCAGUAAGCUAAUACCUUGCUGUUUUGACGUUACCGACAGAAUAAGCACCGGCUAACUCUGUGCCAGCAGCCGCGGUAAUACAGAGGGUGCAAGCGUUAAUCGGAAUUACUGGGCGUAAAGCGCGCGUAGGUGGUUUGUUAAGUUGGAUGUGAAAGCCCCGGGCUAAACCGGGGAACUGCAUCCAAAACUGGCAAGCUAGAGUACGGUAGAGGGUGGUGGAAUUUCCUGUGUAGCGGUGAAAUUCGUAGAUAUAGGAAGGAACACCAGUGGCGAAGGCGACCACCUGGACUGAUACUGACACUGAGGUGCGAAAGCGUGGGGAGCAAACA